UACGUAGGCAGCAAGCGUUGUUCGGAAUUACUGGGCGUAAAGAGUGUGUAGGCGGUGCUCUAAGUUCGGUGUGAAAUCUCCCGGCUCAACUGGGAGGGUGCGCCGAAAACUGGAGUGCUGGAGCGCGGGAGAGGAAAGCGGAAUUCCUGGUGUAGCGGUGAAAUGCGUAGAUAUCAGGAGGAACACCGGCGGUGUAGACGGCUUUCGUGGAC
rnacentral:rRNA from 1 species